rnacentral:rRNA from 1 species
ACUCCUACGGGAGGCAGCAGUGGGGAAUAUUGGACAAUGGGCGCAAGCCUGAUCCAGCCAUGCCGCGUGAGUGAUGAAGGCCCUAGGGUUGUAAAGCUCUUUCACCGGUGAAGAUAAUGACGGUAACCGGAGAAGAAGCCCCGGCUAACUUCGUGCCAGCAGCCGCGGUAAUACGAAGGGGGCUAGCGUUGUUCGGAUUUACUGGGCGUAAAGCGCACGUAGGCGGACUAUUAAGUCAGGGGUGAAAUCCCGGGGCUCAACCCCGGAACUGCCUUUGAUACUGGUAGUCUUGAGUUCGAGAGAGGUGAGUGGAAUUCCGAGUGUAGAGGUGAAAUUCGUAGAUAUUCGGAGGAACACCAGUGGCGAAGGCGGCUCACUGGCCCGAUACUGACGCUGAGGUGCGAAAGCGUGGGGAGCAAACAGGAUUAGAAACCCUGGUAGUCCCAUGAU